rnacentral:rRNA from 1 species
GUUUCGGUCAGUUCGUCCCCCUGCCCGCCUACGGGAGGCAGCAGUAGGGAAUCUUCCACAAUGGACGAAAGUCUGAUGGAGCAACGCCGCGUGAACGAUGAAGGCCCUCGGGUCGUAAAGUUCUGUUGUAAGGGAAGAACAAGUGCCGCAGGCAAUGGCGGCACCUUGACGGUACCUUGCGAGAAAGCCACGGCUAACUACGUGCCAGCAGCCGCGGUAAUACGUAGGUGGCAAGCGUUGUCCGGAAUUAUUGGGCGUAAAGCGCGCGCAGGCGGCCUCUUAAGUCUGAUGUGAAAGCCCCCGGCUCAACCGGGGAGGGCCAUUGGAAACUGGGAGGCUUGAGUAUAGGAGAGAAGAGUGGAAUUCCACGUGUAGCGGUGAAAUGCGUAGAGAUGUGGAGGAACACCAGUGGCGAAGGCGACUCUUUGGCCUAUAACUGACGCUGAGGCGCGAAAGCGUGGGGAGCAAACAGGAUUAGAUACCCUGGUAGUCCACGCCGUAAACGAUGAGUGCUAGGUGUUGGAGGGUUUCCGCCCUUCAGUGCUGAAGCUAACGCA